UGGAUCUUGACAGUUUGUCGGUGUACAGCCGACUCUGUUGAAAUACAACAAGCUGAAUCAUCACACUUGCGGCUUGACCUAUUGUUGUAACUUAAAUUCAAUAGGAACGCAUUAGAGUUGAACGAGCUUAUCAUAAACGUGGCUUUACCCACAAAGUGAUUAUUAAACUCAAAUCAAGUAGGACUACCCGCUGAACUUAA
rnacentral:misc_RNA from 1 species